ACAAUAAGUUGUUUUUUUUUCUGUAAACUUAAGGUAGAUCAAAAUAAAGUGAGGUAGUU
rnacentral:misc_RNA from 1 species